ACGGGGGGUGCGAGCGUUAAUCGGAAUUACUGGGCGUAAAGGGUCUGUAGGUGGUAUGUUAAGUCAGAUGUGAAAGCCCAGGGCUCAACCUUGGAACUGCAUUUGAUACUGGCAAACUAGAGUAUAGUAGAGGGAUGGGGAAUUUCUGGUGUAGCGGUGAAAUGCGUAGAUAUCAGGAGGAACACCGAUGGCGAAGGCAACAUUCUGGACGAAUACUGACACUGAGGGACGAAAGCGUGGGGAUCAAACAGG
rnacentral:rRNA from 1 species